CCGAACCAGUGUUUAUCUUACAUAUAUGGAUUGAUGUCUUGUGUCUCCCUAAAAUGUAUAAAACCAAGCUGUGCCCCGACCACCUUGGGCACAUGUCGUCAGGACCUCCUGAGGCUGUCACGGGCGCAUCCUCAACCUGGGCAAAAUAAACUUUCUAAAUUAACUGAGACCUGUCCCGGAUAUUUGGGGUUUACACUCUGUAGGAUAUAUACAAAUCUAUAUGUAAAUAUAAAUUUAUUUGUUUAUUCAUUUAUUUAAAGGAAUUGGCUGAUGUGAUUGUGGAGGUCAGCAAGUCCAAAAUCUUCGAGAUGUGCCGGCAGGCUGGUGAUCUGGGGAAGAGUUGCUGUCGUACCUGAACUCUGAGAGCCGUCUGCUGGCAGAAUUCUCUCUUCCUCGGAGGAGAAUCACCAUGAGAACAGCUGGGACUCAUUGACCAAUGGCAGCUGGAUGACCCGCAGUCGCCAUCCACUGAAUCCUUCCAGAAACACCUGCACGUGGAGGCAGGUGUUGCUGUCUCCCCAUUUUGCAGGUGGAGCAGGAGGGUGCACACACCACCGACAGCAUCAGCCUGUGGGGACACGGUGGGAGAAGCCAGGAGCCCAGCUGCUCACAGCAGGAUGGACAUGGCGAGACCGGGCAGGGCCCUGCAAAGCCUUCCCAGGUACGGCAGGUGAGCUGGGCUCCAGACCCCCACCUGAAGGUGCGGGGCGGGUGGGGGAAGGGGAUGAGGAUCCAAAAAGUAUCUAUUGGUUGCUCUGUUCAUCAUCUGGGUGAUGAAACAAUGUGUUCACCAAACCCCUGUGACCUGCAGUUUACCGAUAUAACAAACAUGCACAUGUACCCCUGAGCCUAAGUUAAAAGUUAAACAAAUCCCUCCUUGGAGCAGGAGAGGGAGAGACAGGGAAGCGGCUGGAGGCAGCAGCCUGUCUGGGGAGAUGGGUCAGGUGAGGGAGGAGUUUGCUUCCCCAACCUGAGCAGUUUAACCUGUAGCCCUAACUCACCUGAGGGCACCUGCCGGGGCCCAGUGCCUCUAGGGGUGUUUGUGCUGACUGCCCAGGCCCCAGCCAGGCUGGCUGUGAAUAUUUUCAGUGUCAUCUGAUCUUUCCAUCUCCUUGACUGUCCUGUAGUGAGGACCAAAGGACUUUAUUUCAGGACAUUCCCACCAUUCCUGCAGGGUGACGCAUACAUGAUAACCGUAUCUGCAG
rnacentral:lncRNA from 1 species